rnacentral:misc_RNA from 1 species
UUUCCGUAGGUGAACCUGCGGAAGGAUCAUUCAUAAUAUAGUGUUUUAUGGCACGUUUUAAAAAUCAAUCUCCACCUUGUGUGCAAUGUUAGAUCUCGUCAAUCUUGGCGAGAUUUUUAUACAUCAACUCAUUUUUUAACUAAUUUGUCUGAAAAAUAUUAUGGCUACUAAAUUCUAAAUACAACUUUCAACAACGGAUCUCUUGGCUCUGGCAUCGAUGGAGAACGCAGC